rnacentral:misc_RNA from 1 species
CGAAAGCUGAAGCAAAGUAGCAUAAUUUGAUCAAUGGAAAUUAAUUUCAAUGUUUUAUCAAAACCCAUUCGAGGAUCUUUUCCAUUUUCCUCACCUAGAGUUUCUCCACGGGCUUCUAGAACUAAGAUAUGUUUUCCUUCUCAACAUAGUACUGGACUGAAGUUCGGAUCUGAGGGACGGUCUUGGGAUAUUUCUAGCACCCCAAAAUCAAGAGUUAGAAAAGAUGAAAGGAUGAAGCACAGCUCAGCUAUUUCCGCUGUUUUGACCAAUGAUAACUCGACAAUGGCAUCCAGAGAGGAAGAUGUCAAGACUGAAAAUAUUGGCCUCCUAAAUUUGGAUCCAGCUUUGGAACCUUAUCUAGAUCACUUCAGAUACAGAAUGAAGAGAUAUGUG